rnacentral:rRNA from 1 species
CCUACGGGAGGCAACAGUGAGGAAUAUUGGUCAAUGGCCGGAAGUCUGAACCAGCCAAGCCGCGUGAAGGACGAAGGUGCCAAGCAUUGUAAACUUCUUUUGUCAAGGGACAAAAUCAGGCUCGAGAGCCUGACCGAGGGUACUUUAAGAAAAAGCAUCGGCUAACUCCGUGCCAGUAGCCGCGGUAAUACGGAGGAUGCGAGCGUUAUCCGGAUUUAUUGGGUUUAAAGGGUGCGUAGGCGGACUGUUAAGUCAGCGGUAAAAGCCCGGGGCUCAACCCCGGCGAGCCGUUGAAACUGGCUGUCUUGAGAGGGCGAGAGGUAUGCGGAAUGCGCAGUGUAGCGGUGAAAUGCUUAGAUAUUGCGCAGAACUCCGAUUGCGAAGGCAGCAUACCGGCGGCGAUCUGACGCUGAGGCACGAAAGCGUGGGUAUCGAACAGGAUUAGAUACCCUAGUAGUC